rnacentral:ncRNA from 2 species
AUCGCUCUAACGGGGUGCCAUCUGCUUUCGCGGACGGCUGAGAGGUCCAAAGAGCAUUUCCAGCAAAAGUGUAAAACGGUUUUGCGCCCGGAAAUGCUGAAUAAAACGGCCAACCCGCUGAACCUGAUCCGGUUUGCACCGGCGGAGGGAUUAGAUGCUCCAUAAAC